AACUGUACAUUUAAAAUCAUUUCUGUAGUUCAUUGGUAAAGAAGUGUCUCUGAAUGUGUAGAGCAUUGGGAACUACAAAAUAAAAAUUGCAGCGUUUUUUCUGAGCCUAAAGCCGAUUUCUGGUGUUAAUUUUGUGGUUAUCGUUAGCCAUUGAUGAUAGCUGUUUUCUUACUUUGUGAGAUGAAGAGUGAGAGAAUUCUACCUGAAUGGA